UUCGUCACACUAUCAUUAACUGAAUCCAUAGGUUAAUGAGGCGAACCGGGGGAACUGAAACAUCUAAGUACCCCGAGGAAAAGAAAUCAACCGAGAUUCCCCCAGUAGCGGCGAGCGAACGGGGAGCAGCCCAGAGCCUGAAUCAGUGUGUGUGUUAGUGGAAGCGUCUGGAAAGGCGCGCGAUACAGGGUGACAGCCCCGUACACAAAAAUGCACAUACUGUGAGCUCGAUGAGUAGGGCGGGACACGUGGUAUCCUGUCUGAAUAUGGGGGGACCAUCCUCCAAGGCUAAAUACUCCUGACUGACCGAUAGUGAACCAGUACCGUGAGGGAAAGGCGAAAAGAACCCCGGCGAGGGGAGUGAAAAAGAACCUGAAACCGUGUACGUACAAGCAGUGGGAGCACAGAGCAAUCUGUGUGACUGCGUACCUUUUGUAUAAUGGGUCAGCGACUUAUAUUCUGUAGCAAGGUUAACCGAAUAGGGGAGCCGAAGGGAAACCGAGUCUUAACUGGGCGUUAAGUUGCAGGGUAUAGACCCGAAACCCGGUGAUCUAGCCAUGGGCAGGUUGAAGGUUGGGUAACACUAACUGGAGGACCGAACCGACUAAUGUUGAAAAAUUAGCGGAUGACUUGUGGCUGGGGGUGAAAGGCCAAUCAAACCGGGAGAUAGCUGGUUCUCCCCGAAAGCUAUUUAGGUAGCGCCUCGUGAAUUCAUCUCCGGGGGUAGAGCACUGUUUCGGCAAGGGGGUCAUCCCGACUUACCAACCCGAUGCAAACUGCGAAUACCGGAGAAUGUUAUCACGGGAGACACACGGCGGGUGCUAACGUCCGUCGUGAAGAGGGAAACAACCCAGACCGCCAGCUAAGGUCCCAAAGUCAUGGUUAAGUGGGAAACGAUGUGGGAAGGCCCAGACAGCCAGGAUGUUGGCUUAGAAGCAGCCAUCAUUUAAAGAAAGCGUAAUAGCUCACUGGUCGAGUCGGCCUGCGCGGAAGAUGUAACGGGGCUAAACCAUGCACCGAAGCUGCGGCAGCGACGCUUAUGCGUUGUUGGGUAGGGGAGCGUUCUGUAAGCCUGCGAAGGUGUGCUGUGAGGCAUGCUGGAGGUAUCAGAAGUGCGAAUGCUGACAUAAGUAACGAUAAAGCGGGUGAAAAGCCCGCUCGCCGGAAGACCAAGGGUUCCUGUCCAACGUUAAUCGGGGCAGGGUGAGUCGACCCCUAAGGCGAGGCCGAAAGGCGUAGUCGAUGGGAAACAGGUUAAUAUUCCUGUACUUGGUGUUACUGCGAAGGGGGGACGGAGAAGGCUAUGUUGGCCGGGCGACGGUUGUCCCGGUUUAAGCGUGUAGGCUGGUUUUCCAGGCAAAUCCGGAAAAUCAAGGCUGAGGCGUGAUGACGAGGCACUACGGUGCUGAAGCAACAAAUGCCCUGCUUCCAGGAAAAGCCUCUAAGCAUCAGGUAACAUCAAAUCGUACCCCAAACCGACACAGGUGGUCAGGUAGAGAAUACCAAGGCGCUUGAGAGAACUCGGGUGAAGGAACUAGGCAAAAUGGUGCCGUAACUUCGGGAGAAGGCACGCUGAUAUGUAGGUGAAGUCCCUCGCGGAUGGAGCUGAAAUCAGUCGAAGAUACCAGCUGGCUGCAACUGUUUAUUAAAAACACAGCACUGUGCAAACACGAAAGUGGACGUAUACGGUGUGACGCCUGCCCGGUGC
rnacentral:rRNA from 1 species